CUCCUGCGGACGGGAAAACGAGCACUGGGAGGCAUUCAGCUCUCAGGCGCUGUUUCUUCUUAGACACAAAAGGCCGAAGUCACCGAACGCUGUGCAAUCACAAAUCUCAAACACUCAACUUCCCCCAGACCCACCGCUCGGGCAGGCUGUGUGUGCCCUGCAGCCACCCUCCGCCCUCAGGUGCCGGGCUGUCAGGGGACAAGCACGGACCCAGCCACCCCCACACGGAGGACUCCUUCCGAGGAUGCCACGGUGCGACCACACUUCCUAUUCCCGGGGACGUCUGCGCUCACCCAGCGUGAAUCAGGCGUCUCCAGGGAAGCCUGAGCUGCUCUCUCUACAACACAGGCCGUGACACAGAGAAAACCAGUCUCCACGGCGUCAGUCACCAGUCACCACCCACGCACUGUUCCCAUUCACAGGUGCUCUGCACUAGGACCCCCACUCUCCACACGCUGACAGGCCCUUUCCCCGAAGAGCGGACGGUAACCGUAAGACGUUGCCUCCCUGACGCCUGCUCUACAGUUUUCCAGGUCUCCCCAGCGCUGUGCAGUGAGGAAGGCGGCCCUUCCACAGAUGGGAAAAUGAAGCGGCCUCCAAGCAACGCGACCCGCCAAAGGUCACACAGGCUACAAAACGGCAGAGCCCCACGUGGAUGCAAAUCCGUGGAGUCCUGGUUCCAAACUGCCCCCAAACAGCACUCUGCACCAGCUACCUCGCUUCCCCUGCUUCUGUCUCUCAAAUGAAAUCUUUCCUGGGACGUUGGCAGGUGGAACGCGUGUUAAGUGGCGCUGCUCCGGCAGCCGCACACGGCCACGCUCCCCGCGGUCACCCCCAGAGCCCGAAGGACCCCGGAGGAAGGAGAGCCUUUCCAGUCCCUGAGCCCAGCCAGUCAGAGGCUCUGGGCCUCAGCUCCCUCCUGUGCAAAAUGACACCUUGGACCAGGGAGUCCCAGACCCUUCCCAGAUGUACCAUUCUACCCUCUGACAAAAAUGCUUGUCUCGUUGUUCUCGUUUUAUCAUGACACGGGAUAAACCAAGCCGCAAAAACGCUCUAUACACAACUGAUCGAGAUUAGGUUAAAAAUAGUUGAAAAGAUCAAAAAGUAACAAAACAAAAAACUUUGGACAGCUGAGAUUCUAGGACCUUUUUCCUCUCUACUUUUCUAAACUUUAGACAAGGAGAAGGUAUUUCACAGUUAAGGAAAUAUAUUUCAAAAGCUAAAAAUUUCUCAGGAAGAUAAAAACCACCCUGAGAGAGACAGGGGUUGCCCACGACCACGGAGCCCAAGUCACGGCCCGUCGGUGAGCCCUCUCAGAGAUGGAACCUACAGCUGAAAACUCAAAGUUCAGGUGCUGGCUGGAUUCCUGCUGAGUCAUCAGGAGUAUGACCUCUGAACAACUGUAAAACCAUUAACAAUUCCUAAAGCUGGAAAACCUAUAAUCUCAAAUCCGAUCCAACUGCUGAUGCGGUCUUGGGGAACCUUGCUUUCUCCGAUCCCGGUGACCUUCGAUCUUCACAGGCGGUUCUAGAAACAGACAGCCCUGCUUUGUACCGCUCUGACGGAGCCAGUGAGACAUGGCUCAAGUACCUGAUUCGUUUUCUGGAAGGCUUCCAGGGCAUUCAGCCAGCCGGCCACCGGCCCCUUAUCAUCGGUUGCGCCUCUCCCAUACAAUUUGCCUAGAACAGCAAUCAGCAAAUUCAGUUACAAUCACAAUGAAAUAGAAAAGAAAGUGCAUUUCUGGAGCUCAUCUGAUACCAUCUUCGCGCACCACACGCAGCCCCUCUUCAAACCAGGCGCCCUGUUUUCGUUCUAUCGAAAGCCCCACGUCUCCAUCCGAAAUUAGAUUAGGAUUCGCUAUGAUCUAAGAGCAAGCCAUGUGGACGCCCCCACGCUCCCCUCCCCUUCUUCCGCAGACACAGCAGUUAGUGCUCACGUUCCUCCUGACCCGGGGCGGGGACUGCAGGCCCAGCCCCAGGAGGUCACUACCAGCCGGCCAGCUACUUAAAAUCUACUUCCACGACCACCGGGCAGCAGUAAGGGUAGGCAAAGUGGUCAUAUGUAGGACCCACGGUGCACCAUCAUCGAGAGAGAGCUGUCUCCCUCAACCUCAUUUGGUAAAGGAAGGAACAUGUUUACUCUUCACUUCUCCAGGCCAUCACUUGGAAAACCAGAGGACACAGUAUUGCCUCUCCUCUGUGAAAUCAGUCACAGGACCCACCCCCCCGCUGCACACUCGCUCCUGGGACCCCUUACAGAGGGAGGUGGCUGGGCUGGGCACUGCCUGCCACCACGGACACUGGGGAAUCAAGCUCAGGCCCUCCUCCUGCCCCUGUCACACGGUGUGGAGCUCGGCACAGGGAGACCAGGACAGAGGAAGGACGGCAGCCCAGCGAGGGCGGGCUGAGGCUCAGCCCCUCUCUGGCCUGUUCUGUGGUGAGCAGUCAGUUCUCUGACUUCCUCAUCCUCGGCUUGCUUUUAAUGUUGGACACGUUCAACGUGACCACCCCGAAGCGGCGUGAGGCUUCAAGCCAUCACCACCCUGGGAAUUUCUUUUUAUGAACUAAACCAGCUUUUCGCAACAGCCGCAGAGCCCUCCUGAAAAGCAUCCUUGUUCCCACGACAAGCACUGACUGCAUCACUCCGACGAGCCAGAAUGCGCUGGACAGAGGUGCACGGAGGCGCCGUGCUCCCUCCCUCCAGGCCCCGGCCCCGACGAGGCGACACAGGUCACCACCAGCUGACCACAAGGUGAGGAGCUGGUGCAGCUUCACCCACUCCCGGGACUCCGCCGAGGACACCACUCUGUGUGUCAGAACCGGGGACAGGCUGAGCGGGAGGCCUCACACGCCAGCGCCGACGCACAAGCAGGUGUUCCUGUGGCGCAGGUGAGGAGCCAUGAGGGGGAGACGGGGGGGAGGCUGAAGAGCCACGGAGUCUCCCGAGAGGUGUCGGGACAGACACAUCAUGCUUUGGUCAUCACGUGGCAGGAAGAAGAGAGGGGCAGGACCCACAACAUCAACAAGCCAUGGGAGAGUGUUCAACAGGGGAAGAGCGGUGGCCGGGGAGAAGGCCCAGCAGGCACCGGGGCGUGCACAAGCAGGGGGGGGGACUGGCCAGGUUUCCGGUGCGUGUGGCGGGGGAGACGGUGACAGAGGAAACAAGGGGGAAGGGCAGGCCGGAGAGCAGACACGGACUUGUGUUCCGGACAGUGGCAAGCGGAACGGCCCGCAGACGUGUGGGUCUGACGCUCGAGAGAAGCCGAACAGCAAGUCACAACUGCACCGCGAUAGUGACGGCCACGCGGAACUGGGUCUCCUCAGAGAUGCUGCUCUAAGUGAAAAGGUUCCUCAAGUGUGCACAGUAAUGAACACGGCUGACACUGAGCCGGGGAAAGGUCUGAACAGAAACUAAACGCUUCCAGUGAGAAGGGCUCUGAUGAAAGAUGGUCUGGACUUUGCCCCAGGGGGCCGGGUACAAAUGAAGGGGCUUUUUCCUCUGGCCAGAGAUGGCCAAGUAUGGAGACAGGGAAGCUCAGGAAUGAGUGCACGAAGAACCUUUAUACCGGACAGGGACAGGAAGAAAGAGGCCGGCCUGAGGUGGGUCCUCGGUAAAGACGGUCAAGUGCCUGUGGGCACGUGGCCGGGGCGGCACCCACUGACUAUUACUGAGUGACUGUUAUGUCCCUUGCCACGGGAGGCAGGGCUUGGGCAAAGACCAGUGCUUCCCUACUGUCCCAGCGCACAGCUGCUGAAACACACCUGGGAAGCGGCCGCAUGCCGGGUUAGGUAUCAGACUGCAGGUUUUUGAGGGCUGCAAGCCUGAAUUCAGAACACGUUUUCUGAGAAAAUAUCAGCAAGGGAAGAAGUCCGACAGACCCCAGGCUACAAAUACUCCUCUCCACGAGGACAGUGCACUACGCUCAUAAAUACUCAACUCUCAACUCGUAACUCUUGGCAACCCUGCAGUACCCACGCGCAGCCUGGGAACCAAGGUCACUUACCCACAUGAACCGCCCCCAGGGCAGGGUUCACGCACCAGUACGGAAGGAUAGCCACAGCCAUGAGAGGCAAAGAAUCAUUCCUCAGACUCACCACCCUGGUCACACGUGACGUGUGACACUAGUUGCAUCUGGCCCUCAGCUGGCCUCAGAAAAAUAAUGACUUUCAAAUGACAAAUUUUCUCUAAAUAAAUUUCUACUCAGUAUAGCUGAAAUGCUCAAUAGUUUACCAUUCUCAAGGAUGCCAUUUGGGCCCAUAGAUAAAUUCAUACCGAAAUUCAUGUUGCAAGUUGCAAACUCUGUCGGGAUGUCCCUAACUUCCCAGAACGUGAAAGAAUAAAGUCUGGCUGAGAAACACA